rnacentral:rRNA from 1 species
AGAGUUUGAUCCUGGCUCAGAUUGAACGCUGGCGGCAGGCCUAACACAUGCAAGUCGAGCGGAUGAUAGGAGCUUGCUCCUGGAUUCAGCGGCGGACGGGUGAGUAAUGCCUAGGAAUCUGCCUGGUAGUGGGGGACAACGUUUCGAAAGGAACGCUAAUACCGCAUACGUCCUACGGGAGAAAGCAGGGGACCUUAGGGCCUUGCGCUAUCAGAUGAGCCUAGGUCGGAUUAGCUAGUUGGUGAGGUAAUGGCUCACCAAGGCGACGAUCCGUAACUGGUCUGAGAGGAUGAUCAGUCACACUGGAACUGAGACACGGUCCAGACUCCUACGGGAGGCAGCAGUGGGGAAUAUUGGACAAUGGGCGAAAGCCUGAUCCAGCCAUGCCGCGUGUGUGAAGAAGGUCUUCGGAUUGUAAAGCACUUUAAGUUGGGAGGAAGGGUUGUAGAUUAAUACUCUGCAAUUUUGACGUUACCGACAGAAUAAGCACCGGCUAACUCUGUGCCAGCAGCCGCGGUAAUACAGAGGGUGCAAGCGUUAAUCGGAAUUACUGGGCGUAAAGCGCGCGUAGGUGGUUUGUUAAGUUGGAUGUGAAAUCCCCGGGCUCAACCUGGGAACUGCAUCCAAAACUGGCAAGCUAGAGUAUGGUAGAGGGUGGUGGGAUUUCCUGUGUAGCGGUGAAAUGCGUAAAUAUAGGAAGGAACACCAGUGGCGAAAGCGACCACCUGGACUGAUACUGACACUGAGGUGCGAAAGCGUGGGGAGCU